UACGAAGGGGGCUAGCGUUGUUCGGAAUUACUGGGCGUAAAGGGCGCGUAGGCGGUGUGUCAAGUCAGGCGUGAAAGCCCCGGGCUCAACCUGGGAACCGCGCUUGAGACUGGCACGCUAGAGUUCGGGAGAGGAUGGUGGAAUUCCCAGUGUAGAGGUGAAAUUCGUAGAUAUUGGGAAGAACACCGAUGGCGAAGGCAGCCAUCUGGACCGACACUGACGCUGAGGCGCGAAAGCGUGGGGAGCAAACAGG
rnacentral:rRNA from 2 species